GCAACCUGCCCAAAAGAGGGGGAUAACACUUGGAAACAGGUGCUAAUACCGCAUAACCAUAGUUACCGCAUGGUAACUAUGUAAAAGGUGGCUAUGCUACCGCUUUUGGAUGGGCCCGCGGCGCAUUAGCUAGUUGGUGGGGUAAAGGCUUACCAAGGCAAUGAUGCGUAGCCGAACUGAGAGGUUGAUCGGCCACAUUGGGACUGAGACACGGCCCAAACUCCUACGGGAGGCAGCAGUAGGGAAUCUUCCACAAUGGGCGAAAGCCUGAUGGAGCAACGCCGCGUGGGUGAAGAAGGUCUUCGGAUCGUAAACCCUGUUGUUAGAGAAGAAAGUGCGUGAGAGUAACUGUUCACGUUUCGACGGUAUCUAACCAGAAAGCCACGGCUAACUACGUGCCAGCAGCCGCGGUAAUACGUAGGUGGCAAGCGUUAUCCGGAUUUAUUGGGCGUAAAGGGAACGCAGGCGGUCUUUUAAGUCUGAUGUGAAAGCCUUCGGCUUAACGGGAGUAGUGCAUUGGAAACUGGGAGACUUGAGUGCAGAAGAGGAGAGUGGAACUCCAUGUGUAGCGGUGAAAUGCGCAGAUAUAUGGAAGAACACCAGUGGCGAAAGCGGCUCUCUGGUCUGUAACUGACGCUGAGGUUCGAAAGCGUGGGUAGCAAACAAGAUUAGAUACCCUGGUAGUCCACGC
rnacentral:rRNA from 1 species